rnacentral:rRNA from 1 species
GUCUGAGGCAGCAACGCCGCGUGAGCGAUGAAGGCCUUCGGGUUGUAAAGCUCUUUUCUGGGGGACGAGGAAGGACGGUACCUCGGGAAUAAGUCACGGCUAACUACGUGCCAGCAGCCGCGGUAAUACGUAGGUGGCGAGCGUUAUCCGGAUUUACUGGGCGUAAAGCGCGUGUAGGCGGUUUCGUAAGUCGGAUGUGAAAGCUCCUGGCUCAACUGGGAGAGGCCAUUCGAUACUGCGGGACUUGAGGACGGGAGAGGGACGUGGAAUUCCCGGUGUAGUGGUGGAAUGCGUAGAUAUCGGGAGGAACACCAGUGGCGAAGGCGACGUCCUGGCCCGCACCUGACGCUAAGACGCGAAAGCGUGGGUAGCGAACGGGAUUAGAUACCCCGGUAGUCCACGCUGUAAACGGUGGAUACUAGGUGUUGGUGGCUAUCGUCAUCAGUGCCGUAGCUAACGCGUUAAGUAUCCCGCCUGGGGACUACGACCGCAAGGUUAAAACUCAAAGGAAUUGACGGGGGCCCGCACAAGCAGCGGAGCGUGUGGUUUAAUUCGAGGCAACACGAAGAACCUUACCUGGGUUUGACAUGUACGUAGUAGUGAAGUGAAAACGGAACGAUACUUCGGGAAGCGUACACAGGUGCUGCAUGGCUGUCGUCAGCUCGUGCCGUGAGGUGUUCGGUUAAGUCCGGUAACGAGCGCAACCCUCGCUGUUAGUUACAUGUGUCUAACGGGACUGCCGGUUUAAUGCCGGAGGAAGGUGGGGAUGACGUCAAGUCAGCAUGGCCUUUAUAUCCAGGGCUACACACACGCUACAAUGGCCGGUACAAUGGGUUGCCAAACCGCGAGGUGGAGCUAAUCCUCUAAAGCCGGUCUCAGUUCGGAUUGUAGGCUGUAACUCGCCUGCAUGAAGGUGGAGUUGCUAGUAACCGCAGGUCAGCUAUACUGCGGUGAAUACGUUCCCGGGCCUUGUACACACCGCCCGUCACGUCAUGGGAGCUGGUAACACCUGAAGCCGGUGGGCUAACCGUAAGGAGGCAGCCGUCGAAGGUGGGACUGGUGACUGGGACGAAGUCGUAACAAGGUAACC